AUACGGAGGGUGCAAGCGUUGUUCGGAAUCACUGGGCGUAAAGGGCGCGCAGGCGGUUUGGUAAGUCAGAUGUGAAAGCCCAUGGCUCAACCAUGGAAGUGCAUUUGAAACUGUCAGACUUGAGUACUAGAGGGGAAAGUGGAAUUCCCGGUGUAGAGGUGAAAUUCGUAGAUGUCGGGAGGAAUACCGGUGGCGAAGGCGACUUUCUGGCUAGAUACUGACGCUGAGGCGCGAAAGCGUGGGGAGCAAACAGGAUUAGAAACCCUGGUAGUCC
rnacentral:rRNA from 1 species